AUCUCGUACACACGGCUUCGGGCUAGCAACCCGAGCCAGUUAGAGAGUACGGGGCGUUCACAGACUCCCUUAGCCCGCCAGCAUGCUGCAUAUAAGGAGUUUGUCGAGCAUAGGAAUCUUGAGGUGCGGGAGUACUUGAAACGAGUGAAGGCAAAUGAUGAUUACAACCGUCAGAUGAUGACGGCUAUGUUGGCGUCUUGGACUAACCGCACGGAUCCACCACAAAUGGGACCCCCACCACCACCUGCGGGAGAACCCCCACACGUGCCCAC